UUGUCAGCCAGGAGGAGCUCACAGUAGGCACUUUGUCAUUCUUCUUUUAUAGUUCCUUAUUUGUCCAUAACUUUAUGUCUGUCUUUCUUUCAGGGAGUUCUCUGGCUCCAAGAACAUACUCAACUUGGAUGUGGGUGACUCAAGGAAUCAUUGAGGAAAACCAAAGAGGAAAGAGAAAGAAAUUUGUUUUCUGGACACAACAGGCUUGCUUACAGUGGUUGCGAAAGCAUGCACAAAACCUGUGGAGGCUGAAGCUAGGAAAUCUCCCAGCAUGGAGAGAUAAGGGUGGGCCUUCAGUCUUUUUACUAGAACUUUGUGUCAGGGAUGAGGUGACUGUCAACCAACCGGCUGAAGCUUUGUAGAAACUAAAUGAAGAACGAGACUGAUGCUUUGCCAUGUUCCAGCCCAGCGCCACAGAGCAGUGCCCCCUUGUGGACCACCACCUGUCCAGAGCCAUGAUAUAAAUAAGGAGGCCUUUAAUACAGCCCGGUCCCUGUUGCUCAUUGGCCAUACUAUUAAAG
rnacentral:sRNA from 1 species